GGGUGUAGCUCAGGGGAAAGGGACAUGCUUAGCAUUCAUGAGGCUCUGGGUUUGAUUCCCAGCACCGUACA
rnacentral:tRNA from 1 species